rnacentral:rRNA from 1 species
GACGAACGCUGGCGGCGUGCUUAACACAUGCGAGUCGAACGGAAAGGCCCUGCUUGCAGGGUACUCGAGUGGCGAACGGGUGAGUAACACGUGGGUGAUCUGCCCUGCACUUCGGGAUAAGCCUGGGAAACUGGGUCUAAUACCGGAUAGGAGCCAUUUUUAGUGUGAUGGUUGGAAAGUUUUUUUCGGUGUAGGAUGAGCUCGCGGCCUAUCAGCUUGUUGGUGGGGUAAUGGCCUACCAAGGCGGCGACGGGUAGCCGGCCUGAGAGGGUGGACGGCCACAUUGGGACUGAGAUACGGCCCAGACUCCUACGGGAGGCAGCAGUGGGGAAUAUUGCACAAUGGGCGCAAGCCUGAUGCAGCGACGCCGCGUGGGGGAUGACGGCCUUCGGGUUGUAAACUCCUUUCGCUAGGGACGAAGCCUUUUGUGACGGUACCUAGAUAAGAAGCACCGGCUAACUACGUG